UACGUAGGGGGCGAGCGUUGUUCGGAGUUACUGGGCGUAAAGGGUGUGUAGGCGGUUCUUUAAGUUUGGUGUGAAAUCUCCCGGCUCAACCGGGAGGGUGCGCCGAAUACUGAGGGACUAGAGUGCGGGAGAGGAAAGUGGAAUUCCUGGUGUAGCGGUGAAAUACGUAGAUAUCAGGAGGAACACCGGUGGUGUAGACGGCUUUCUGGACCGUAACUGACGCUGAGACACGAAAGCGUGGGUAGCAAACAGG
rnacentral:rRNA from 1 species